GGAGUCAGCCAGGCAGCCGCUCCUUCCAUCUGGAAGGGGAGGAAAGUCCGGGCUCCAUAGGGCAGGGUGCCAGGUAACGCCUGGGGGGCGCGAGUCCACGGAAAGUGCCGCAGAAAAGAUACCGCCAACCCCGCCUCACGGCGGGCGGUAAGGGUGAAAAGGUGCGGUAAGAGCGCACCGCGCUGGUGGCAACAUCAGUGGCAGGGUAAACCCCACCCGGAGCAAGACCAAAUAGGGGAGCGCGCAGUUCACUCUGCAGCACGCGGCCCGCGUGUGUUCCCGGGUAGGUCGCUUGAGGCAUGCGGUGACGCAUGUCCCAGAUGAAUGGCUGCCCUCGACAGAACCCGGCUUAUCGGCUGACUCCCUCU
rnacentral:RNase_P_RNA from 2 species